GGCUGGUUAGCUUAGUACGUAGGGCACGAGACUCUUAAUCUCAGGGUUGUGGGUUCAAGCCCAACCUUGGGCA